GUGCUGCAUCUACCAUAAUCUCUUCUCUUUCAAUUAACUGAAAGGUUUUAUCAUUUUUUUUUUCCUUUCUGAAAAAGGUAAUAUCUGGCACAGUCUGAUGCAGUUAUUGUAAGUAGACAUGAUCUGGUACAACGAUGUUAGCGUUCCACUAAAAGUGAACCGGAAGUAGACAUGAUUUGGUGGAAACUGCAUCAGAAACUGUGAGGUAUGUUCUUGUAGAGGCAAUCUUAUUUGUAGAGGCAAUCUUAUUUUAUUUCUUUUAUAGGAGAAGUCUGUGAUUGUUACCAAAUUUCAAAGGGUUGUGUUCCUUUUGUAUUACAAGGGGGCCGCAGAGAUGCGGGACAAGGGUGCUGCUUUAGGAAAUCUAUGUUUUGAGCACAAGUUGAGCGCGUGGAGUAAUGGUAACUCAAUAACAAAAUUGUAGGCCAGAGUGGCUUUUUCAUGUGCAUGGAGCAAUCAACGACAUAAUCCUAUGUUAAAUAUGGACUUAGACACAAAGUACAUUGUGUGAUUCCGUAAAGAAAAGAUUUGAUGGUAGGA
rnacentral:lncRNA from 1 species